UACGGAGGAUCCGAGCGUUAUCCGGAUUUAUUGGGUUUAAAGGGUGCGUAGGCGGCUCAUUAAGUCAGGGGUGAAAGACGGUAGCUUAACUAUCGCAGUGCCCUUGAUACUGAUGGGCUUGAAUGAACUAGAGGUAGGCGGAAUGUGACAAGUAGCGGUGAAAUGCAUAGAUAUGUCACAGAACACCAAUUGCGAAGGCAGCUUACUAUGGUUUUAUUGACACUGAGGCACGAAAGCGUGGGGAUCAAACAGG
rnacentral:rRNA from 1 species